ensembl:snRNA U6 U6 spliceosomal RNA
GUGCUUGCUUCAACAGCACAUAUACUAAAAGUGGAGCAAUACAGAGAAGAUUAGCAUGGUCCCUGCCAGGAUGACAUGCAAAUUUAUGAAGCAUUCCAUAUAUUU